UACAGAGGUCUCAAGCGUUGUUCGGAUUCAUUGGGCGUAAAGGGUGUGUAGGUGGCGCCGGUAAGUCGGGUGUGAAAUUCGAUGGCUUAACUCCGAAACUGCAUUCGAUACUGCGGUGCUUGAGGACUGGAGAGGAGACUGGAAUUCAUGGUGUAGCAGUGAAAUGCGUAGAGAUCAUGAGGAAGACCAGUGGCGAAGGCGGGUCUCUGGACAGUUCCUGACACUGAGACACGAAGGCCAGGGGAGCAAACGGG
rnacentral:rRNA from 1 species